rnacentral:rRNA from 1 species
UACAGAGGUCUCAAGCGUUGUUCGGAUUCAUUGGGCGUAAAGGGUGCGUAGGUGGCGCGGUAAGUCGGGUGUGAAAUUUACGGAGCUUAACUCCGAAACUGCAUUCGAUACUGCCGUGCUUGAGGACUGGAGAGGAGACUGGAAUUUACGGUGUAGCGGUGAAAUGCGUAGAUAUCGAUAAGGAAGACCAGUGGCGAAGGCGGGUCUCGUGGACAGUUCCUGACGCUGAGGCACGAAGGCCAGGGGGAGCAAACGGGG